rnacentral:rRNA from 1 species
UGGGGAAUAUUGCACAAUGGGCGAAAGCCUGAUGCAGCGACGCCGCGUGGGGGAUGAAGGCUUUCGGGUUGUAAACCUCUUUCGCUAUCGAACAAGGCCCGCUUAGGGUGGGUUGAGGGUAGGAGGAGAAGAAGCGCCGGCUAACUACGUGCCAGCAGCCGCGGUAAUACGUAGGGCGCGAGCGUUGUCCGGAAUUAUUGGGCGUAAAGGGCUUGUAGGCGGCUUGUUGCGCCUGCUGUGAAAACGCGGGGCUUAACUUCGCGCGUGCAGUGGGUACGGGCAGGCUUGAGUGUGGUAGGGGUGACUGGAAUUCCAGGUGUAGCGGUGGAAUGCGCAGAUAUCUGGAGGAACACCGAUGGCGAAGGCAGGUCACUGGGGCAUUACUGACGCUGAGGAGCGAAAGCAUGGGUAGCGAACAGG